UCCACCAGAGAAACAAACCAAUCUAUCAACCAGAGAAACUAUGUACUAAUCAGGACAAGACCUCAAAACUAUUUGUUAUCAGACAUUAUAAUCGGACAGCGAUGAUGCAACUGCUCGGAUCAAAAGAAUGACACACAAUCCAUAAAUUCAGUAUCAUCGGCUAUUACCUUAUUAUAGUCAUUUGUUAAGCAUAUUGAUUACUUUUCACAACCACCUAAUACUACACAUUCAAUUAACAUCAGAAAUACAACCUGCUGUUUUGCGAAGCAAGAAAGCAGGAUAAAAGUCAGAAUUAGGAAUUAACACACACAUAAAGCUACCAUUAAAGGUUAGUGAUUACUGAUUACAAGCCAUAUAAAAAGAAA